rnacentral:misc_RNA from 1 species
UCCGGUUUGUCACCGGCAGUCUCCCUAGAGUUCCCACCUUUACGUGCUGGCAACUAAGGACAAGGGUUGCGCUCGUUGCGGGACUUAACCUGACACCUCACGGCACGAGCUGACGACAACCAUGCAGCACCUUGUAAAUUGUCCGGAGAAAAGUCUGUUUCCAAACCUGUCAAUCUACAUUUAAGCCUUGGUAAGGUUCCUCGCGUAUCAUCGAAUUAAACCACAUGCUCCACCGCUUGUGCGGGCCCCCGUCAAUUCCUUUGAGUUUCAGUCUUGCGACCGUACUCCCCAGGCGGCGAACUUAACGCGUUAGCUUCGACACUGAUCUCCGAGUUGAGACCAACAUCCAGUUCGCAUCGUUUAGGGCGUGGACUAC